GACGAACGCUGGCGGCGUGCUUAACACAUGCAAGUCGAACGGAAAGGCCCUGCUUGCAGGGUACUCGAGUGGCGAACGGGUGAGUAACACGUGGGUGAUCUGCCCUGCACUUCGGGAUAAGCCUGGGAAACUGGGUCUAAUACCGGAUAGGAGCCAUUUUUAGUGUGAUGGUUGGAAAGUUUUUUCGGUGUAGGAUGAGCUCGCGGCCUAUCAGCUUGUUGGUGGGGUAAUGGCCUACCAAGGCGGCGACGGGUAGCCGGCCUGAGAGGGUGGACGGCCACAUUGGGACUGAGAUACGGCCCAGACUCCUACGGGAGGCAGCAGUGGGGAAUAUUGCACAAUGGGCGCAAGCCUGAUGCAGCGACGCCGCGUGGGGGAUGACGGCCUUCGGUUGGU
rnacentral:rRNA from 1 species